rnacentral:rRNA from 1 species
UCCAGACUCCUACGGGAGGCAGCAGUGGGGAAUAUUGCACAAUGGGGGAAACCCUGAUGCAGCGACGCCGCGUGAGUGAAGAAGUAUUUCGGUAUGUAAAGCUCUAUCAGCAGGAACGAGACAAGACGGUACCUGACUAAGAAGCCCCGGCUAACUACGUGCCAGCAGCCGCGGUAAUACGUAGGGGGCAAGCGUUAUCCGGAAUCACUGGGUGUAAAGGGAGCGUAGACGGCUGUGCAAGCCUGAAGUGAAAGGCGGGGGCCCAACCCCUGGACUGCUUUGGGAACUGUGCGGCUGGAGUGCAGGAGAGGUAAGUGGAAUUCCUAGUGUAGCGGUGAAAUGCGUAGAUAUCAGGAGGAACACCGGUGGCGAAGGCGGCUUACUGGACCAUAACUGACGUUGAGGCUCGAAAGCGUGGGGAGCGAACAGGAUUAGAUACCCAAGUACA